GACGAACGCUGGCGGCGUGCUUAACACAUGCAAGUCGAACGAAAAUACCAAGCUUGCUUGGUUGAUUAGUGGCGAACGGGUGAGUAACACGUGAGUAACCUGCCCCUUACUUUCCUGGAUAACUGCUCGAAAGGGUAGCUAAUACGGGAUAUUCUGACCAGCCUGCAUGGGUUGGUUUGGAAAGGUUGUUUUUCUGGUAAGGGAUGGGCUCGCGGCCUAUCAGCUUGUUGGUGGGGUGAUGGCCUACCAAGGCUUUGACGGGUAGCCGGCCUGAGAGGGUGGGCGGUCACACUGGGACUGAGAUACGGCCCAGACUCCUACGGGAGGCAGCAGUGGGGAAGAUUGCACAAUGGGCGCAAGCCUGAUGCAGCGACGCCGCGUGAGGGAUGAAGGCCUUCGGGUUGUAAACCUCUUUCGUCAGGGAACAAGGCACUGCUUUUGUGGUGGUGUUGAGGGUACCUGGAGAAGAAGCGCCGGCUAACUACGUG
rnacentral:rRNA from 1 species